rnacentral:tRNA from 1 species
GCAGGAGUGGCGGAACUGGUAGACGCGAUAGUUUGAGGGGCUAUUGCUCCCUAAAGAGCGUGAGGGUUCGAGUCCCUUCUCCUGCACCA